GACGAACGCUGGCGGCGUGCCUAAUACAUGCAAGUCGAACGCUUUUUCUUUCACCGGAGCUUGCUCCACCGAAAGAAAAAGAGUGGCGAACGGGUGAGUAACACGUGGGUAACCUGCCCAUCAGAAGGGGAUAACACUUGGAAACAGGUGCUAAUACCGUAUAACACUAUUUUCCGCAUGGAAGAAAGUUGAAAGGCGCUUUUGCGUCACUGAUGGAUGGACCCGCGGUGCAUUAGCUAGUUGGUGAGGUAACGGCUCACCAAGGCAACGAUGCAUAGCCGACCUGAGAGGGUGAUCGGCCACACUGGGACUGAGACACGGCCCAGACUCCUACGGGAGGCAGCAGUAGGGAAUCUUCGGCAAUGGACGAAAGUCUGACCGAGCAACGCCGCGUGAGUGAAGAAAGUUUUCGGAUCGUAGAACUCUGUUGUUAGAGAAGAACAAGGAUGAGAGUAAAAUGUUCAUCCCUUGACGGUAUCUAACCAGAAAGCCACGGCUAACUACGUGCCAGCCGCCGCCGUAA
rnacentral:rRNA from 1 species